UACGAAGGGGGCUAGCGUUGCUCGGAUUUACUGGGCGUAAAGGGCGCGUAGGCGGACAGUUAAGUUGGGGUGAAAGCCCGGGGCUCAACCUCGGAAUUGCCUUCAAUACUGGCUGUCGUUGAGUGUGAGAGGAGGUGUGUGGAACUCCGAGUGUAGAGGUGAAAUUCGUAGAUAUUCGGAAGAACACCAGUGGCGAAGGCGACACACUGGCUCGACUACUGACGCUGAGGCGCGAAAGCGUGGGGAGCAAACAGG
rnacentral:rRNA from 1 species